GGCGCAGGGUCAGCGCGCGAAGAAUCAGCCCCGAGAAGCUCAGCAGUCGAUCUGCUGUCUUAACGUGACGAAAUUGGUUGAAAGUGACGCCCCCUUUCUCUCGCCAAACUGGAUUGUUUACGUGUGUGCUUGUUCACAAUCGCUAAAAAAAAACAUUUAGACCAAAAAACGAAUAAUCGUAGGGAUUGUAUCCGAUCAGGCUGACGUACGUCAAGUGCCGCUAAACAGAAAGUGUCUGUUGGCCGCGGAUGUGCUGGGCUUCCCGUGGGCCGAUGCGUUGGCCACCGUGCCGAGAGAGUUAGCUACCGAGCAAAGUGUACUGUCUGCUUGAGAGGCUGGAGGGAUGGGCUCCCUGGGCAGUCGGCUCCAGGCUUCCCCCCGGGGCCCACAGGGGACAGCGGAGGGUUCAUGCGGAGCCUCCAGACAUGGGUGCGAGUGCCGCAAGAGGAAGCGCAGCUCGGGGUGCCAGUGUGACAGCGAGCCAGAGGAGGAGGACAGCUUGCUGAACACGCCGAGGAGGAAAACGUUGAAAAGCACCUCUAAGUACAUCUACCAGACCCUGUUCCUCAAUGGUGAGAACAGUGACAUCCGGAUCUGUGCCCUGGGCCAGGACUGGAACCUGCACAAGGUCUAUCUGUGCCAGGUGAGGGGGGAGUGGGGGG